rnacentral:misc_RNA from 1 species
UUUUUUUUUUUUUUUUGGUGUUUGGAGUCUUUUUCUUUCGUUUAUGUGCAUAAUGGAUCUCGGUUCGCGUGAGGAUGAUGGUGAGUUUGCGGAGAAAGACCCGACUGGUCGAUACAUUCGGGUAUGUAUUAUUUGAAAUUAUCCCUUUUUUUGGCCAAGAAAAUUGAACUAAUUGAAGAUGAAGUUGAAUUUCUUUAACUAUCUUGUUUUUGUUACUCGAAAGUAAAUAUCAAUUUGAUAGUGUGAAAUGAUUUGCUUAAGCUCAGCUCAAUAGAGACUAUGGAAAUGAAUUAGGAAACAGGGACUAGUUAAAGGUCAUGAUUUGUGUUUAAUGAAAGUGUGAUUCCUGGCAUUAGGAACUCGAUGUCUUGUUUGUCUUAUUGGAAGUACUGUUUUGGUGAAUUGGCUUUUUUGCUUACUGUUUUUGUUUUGUUUUAUUUUUACUCCUUCAGUAUGAUGAAAUAUUGGGGAGAGGUGCAUUCAAGACUGUGUAUGGUUCUUCAACCUAUCUUCUUUACUUACCUUUAUUUUAGCUCUAGUGAUCUUCUGUUCGCCCCUUUAGCUUUGUAAAAAGAAUCUAUUUGCUGACUUGGCAUUUUCCUCCCUUGGAUCACUUCUUUUAUUAUGAUUAGAUAUAAAGCAUUCGAUGAAGUUGAUGGAAUUGAAGUUGCCUGGAACCAAGUGAGGAUUGAAGAUGUGUUGCAGUCACCCGACCAGCUGGAAAGAUUAUAUUCAGAGGUUCAUCUGAUUAAGUCACUGAAACAUGAAAAUAUCAUGAAAUUCUAUCACUCUUGGGUGGAUGAUAAGAAUAAGACAAUCAAUAUGAUAACAGAACUUUUCACUUCAGGGAGUUUGAGGCAGUACCGCAAGAAGCAUAAGAAUGUUGAUGUCAAGGCCACCAAAAAUUGGGCAAGACAGAUCCUUCGAGGUUUACAAUAUUUGCAUGGUCACAAUCCUCCUAUCAUUCAUCGUGAUUUGAAAUGUGACAAUGUAUUUGUUAAUGGAAACAAUGGGGAAGUUAAAAUUGGAGAUCUUGGACUAGCAAUUGUCAUGCAGCAGCCUACAGCCCGAAGUGUUAUAGGCACUCCUGAAUUCAUGGCUCCAGAGCUCUAUGAAGAGGAAUACAAUGAACUUGUUGACGUCUAUUCUUUUGGCAUGUGCAUGUUAGAAAUGGUUACCUGUGAAUACCCAUAUAGUGAAUGCAAGAACCCAGCACAAAUAUAUAAGAAGGUUACCUUGGGUAUAAAGCCUGCUUCUCUUGGUAAAGUGAGUGACCCCCAGGUCAAGCAGUUCAUAGAGAAGUGUCUAGUUCCAGCAUCUAUGAGAUUGUCUGCAACAGAACUCUUGAAAGAUCCAUUCCUAGCAACUGAAAAUUCUAAGGAAAUUGUUCCUGUAUCUCUGCGGAUAGCAGAUCUUAUGUCCAAACAAGUCAACACACUGCAAUCAGAAUCUCAUCCCAUGGAUAUUGACAGUAACAUCAAAAAACUUUCAAUAGGUUCUUGUACAAAAAGCAUGGAUGAGGUUCUGCCUUUCUCAACUCUAGAAUUGCGUAGGUUCACUGAGAACAAUGAGUUCAGGUUAAGAGGAGAGAAAAAUGGUGAUAAUACUAUUUCAUUGACUCUGCGCAUUGUGGAACGAUUUGGUGGUGGAGUAAAGAAUAUCCAUUUUACUUUUUAUCUGGAUACUGAUACUACAUUUUCAAUAGCUGAAGAGAUGGUUGAACAACUUGAUUUGUCAAAUGAAGAUGUGGCUAUCAUUGCCGAGUUGAUUGAUGCCUUGGUGAUGAAGGUUGUUCCUUGCUGGAGUCCUUCAUUUGUAAGUACAUCUUCUGGAGAACAAAAUGAUGCAGCUUCCAAGGCAGUUAGCGAAAAUGAUUUCUUGCCUUUGGUUAAUGUGAUUGGCCAAGAGACUCGAGAAUCAUUCAAUUCAGGCAUAUCUGCUGAAUUUCAUAUGACAAUCGCCUCUGAUGCCAGCACUAACAAGCCCUUGGAAUCUUCCUACUGCACUGUUCAAUUGAAUACAGCUGAUUUUGGGAUGCAUGUUGAUGGUAUAUCUAAAUAUGCUAAAUCCAUAAAAAAUUCAGAGAAUACUCCUCCUGACCUGAAGAUGGAGCUUGAUGCCAUUGAUAUGCAAUAUAAUCAGUGCUUCCAAGAACUCUUGAGGAUGAGGGAGGAAGCUAUAGAAAAUGCCAAAAAGAAGUGGAUAACAAAGAAGAAGAUACCCGUCAUGUGAUAUGCUAGAUUUCUUAGGAUUUUUUUCUCCUUUGCUCUACUGGUAAGACAGGCAUUGGAAGUGGCCAUUUUUUGGCACCUUCCUGUUUCAUUUUUUUAUUUGGAUGCUUGUUGACCAGUUGAUUUAACUUUGAUCAUAGCUAUUUUCUUGUAUAUAGAGAAUUGGGGCACUCAAGGGUGCAACUUAAUUCAUUCAUUAAUGGUAUAUUUUAUCCAUCCACUCCAAAUGAAGAAGAUAUAUAUUAGCACUUUUCAUUUAAAGCAGAUAUGAAAGUAACAUUGAUAUAGAGUAAGCAUGGUCUGGAAGUAAAUAGGUGUCAUGAGCCCUUUAAUACAAUCACCGUCUUCCAAGAAAAUAUUUGGAAGACGAAUUAGGUUCCUUCCAAGCUCAAAGCUGUACUGGUCAAUUCAGUUACGUGGUUGGUUCCUUGCCUGGCCAGCUCCCUUUUAUGCUUCCCCGUCUCUGUUACAAGCACCUUUUUUU